GUGGGGAAUUUUGGACAAUGGGCGCAAGCCUGAUCCAGCCAUGCCGCGUGUGUGAAGAAGGCCUUCGGGUUGUAAAGCACUUUUGUCCGGGAAGAAAUCUUCCAGGUUAAUACCCUGGGAGGCUGACGGUACCGGAAGAAUAAGCACCGACUAACUUCGUGCCAGCAGCCGCGGUAAUACGAAGGGUGCAAGCGUUACUCGGAAUUACUGGGCGUAAAGCGUGCGUAGGUGGUUCGUUAAGUCUGCCGUGAAAGCCCCGGGCUCAACCUGGGAAUGGCGGUGGAUACUGGCGGGCUAGAGUGCGGUAGAGGGUGGUGGAAUUCCCGGUGUAGCAGUGAAAUGCGUAGAGAUCGGGAGGAACAUCUGUGGCGAAGGCGGCCACCUGGACCAGCACUGACACUGAGGCACGAAAGCGUGGGGAGCAAACAGGAUUAGAAACCCUAGUAGUCC
rnacentral:rRNA from 1 species